UGAGGGGUGUGGCAUAGUUGGGAGGGCGUCUGGGCUAUCACCCCUCACGUUGUGGGUUCAAAUCCCAUCUUGUCAU